rnacentral:lncRNA from 1 species
CUUAUGGAAGCACGGAGGCCUCCGUGCUUCCAAGUUGUUUUCGAUGUUAGGACUUUCGAAUCGACGAUCAGCUCCGUUAGACUUGAUCUAGAGUAUUUGAAGCACCUAGAAAAUAAAUUUUGCGAUUUUUCGAUAUCAUUUGCCUAGUGAUCAAAGGGGCUCAAAAUCAACGGCUAAAAAUAAAAAUCUCACAAAAUGUGAUGAUAUGACAUUAAAAAUUUAGAUCAAAGAUAUUGAUCUUAUUUUAUAUAGUAUAAAAAAUUUUCUAUCAAAAUUUCACGUGAUUUGGAUAUUUCUACACCGUUAAACUUGCAACCGGCUCACCACGACCAUUAAAAUUAUCGAUUUUGACCCCCUUCGAUCACUAGGCAAAUGAUAUCGAAAAAUCGCAAAAUUUAUUUUCUAGGUACUUCAAAUACUCUAGAUCAACUCUAACGAAAACGAUCAUCGAUUCGAAAGUCUGAACAUCGAAAACAACUUGGAAGCACAGAAGCCUCCGUGCUUCCAUAAGCAUACCAGCCAAACUCUAUAUAUAUAUAAUAUAUAUACAGCAGAGCUGCUGUGCUCUCAGGAGCACGGAGGUCUCCGUGCUCUUGAGCCGUUUUUGAUGAUGGAGUUUUCGAAUCGACGAUCGGCUCCGUUAAACUUGAUCUACCGUAUUUAAAGUUUCUAGAAAAUAAUUUUUGCGAUUUUUCGAUAUCAUUUACCUAGCAAUCGAAAGGAUUCAAAAUCAAUAAUUUUUAAUGGCUGAAAAUAAAAAUCCUAUAAAAAGUGGUGAUAUAGCACUAAAAUUUUCGAUCAGAAAUAUAGAUCUUGUUGUAGAUAGUAUAAAGAAUUUUCUAUCAAAAUUUCAUCUGAUUUGAAUAUUUCUACACCGUUAAACUUGAAAACGGCAGAUAUCAACCAUUAAAAAUUAUGAAUUUUGAAUCCUUUCGAUCACUAGGUAAAUGAUAUCGAAAAAUCACAAAAAUUAUUUUCUAGAAACUUCAAAUGCGCUAGAUCAAGUCUAACGGAGCCGAUCGUCGAUUCGAAAACUCCAUCAUCAAAAACGGCUCAGGAGCACAGCGUCCUCCGUGCUCCUGAGAACACAGCAGCCCUGCCUCUUUUAUAUAUAUAUUAUAAUUGACUAUAUACUAUCUAUAGUAUCGGAGCUCCGGUACUAUAGUCUUGUUUUCGAUCUUAGGGUGCUCAAAUUAACGAUCCACACCGUUAAAUAUGAUCUAGGGUUUAUGAAGUUCUUAGGAAUAAAAUUUUAGUUUUUUUCGACAUCGUUUACUUAGUAAAUAAAUUAUGUCAAAAUGGACGGUGGAAAUUGAAUAAUCUUUAAAAUUUGAGUAUAGGACUUUUAAAUUCAAGAUCAAGAAUGUUAACCUUAAUCUAGAUAGUUUAAAGUAUUUUCUAUCAAAAUUUGAAGAAAUUUAGAUUUUUCUACACCGUUAAACUCCAAACUCGCCAUAGUAGCUUUUGAAAAUUGACAAUUUUGAAAUGGUUUGAUCAUAAAGUAAACUAUGUCAAAAAAAUAUAAAAUUUUAUUUUUAAAAAUUUUAAAUAUCCUAGAUCAGUUGUAACGGUGUGGAUCGUUGAUUUGAACACUCUAAGAUCGAAAACGAGACUAUAGUACCGGAGCCAUAUAUAUAUAUAUAUAGGCUAAAAUACUAUUAAUAGUAAAACGCUCUUUUUGCUAUCAAGUUUUUAAUCUUUGGAUGAAAAAUUAUAGGGUCAGGAUGAUAUUAGUCGGUUAGAGUUGAGUGGUCCCCCUAGGAUUGAGUGGUCCCCACUGGGUUAUAGUAUUUAAUCCAAUGGUUAGAAAUAAUGAAAAGAGUUGAUCCAAAGGCUAAAAAACUGAUAGCAAUAAUGGGAUUUUGCUACUAAUAGUAGCCCAGUCCAACUCUCUCUCUCUCUCUCUCUCUCUCUCUCUCUCUCUCUCUCUCUCUAUAUAUAUAUAUAUAUAUAUUGGAGUGAGGCUACUAUGCUAUCGGAAGCACGGAGCCUUCCGUGCUCCCAGCUCGUUUUCGAUGUUGUGACUUUCGAAUUGUCGAUCGGUUCCGUUAAACUUGAUCUAGAGUUUUUGAAGUACCUAGAAAAUAAAUUUUAUGAUUUUACGAUAUCAUUUGCCUAGUAAACGAAGGGGCUCAAAAUCAACGGCUGAAAAUAAAAAUCUUACAAAAUGUAAUAAUAUGACAUUAAAAUUUUAAAUCAAAGAUAUUAAUCUUGUUUUAUAUAGUAUAAAAAAUUUUCUAUCAAAAUUUCACGUGAUUUGGAUAUUUCUACACCGUUAAACGAGAAAACGCCUCUAAUUGACCAUUAAAAUUACAAAUUUUGAAACCCUUUAAUCAUUAGGCAAAUGAUGUCGAAAAGAUUUGAAAUUUGAUUUCUAAACAUUUCAAGUGGUAUAGAUCAUGUUCAACGGAGCCGAUCGUCAAUUUGGAAGCUCUAUCAUCGAAAACAAAUAGGUAGUAAAACGGCUCGUUUACUACUGAUAGUAGUCUAGCAAAACUCUCUCUCUCUCUCUCUCUCUCUCUCUCUCUCUCUCUCUCUCUCUCUCUCU